rnacentral:rRNA from 1 species
UAUGUGAUCGUCUCUCGCAUAUCAAUAAGCGGAGGAAAAGAAACUAACAAGGAUUCCCCUAGUAACGGCGAGUGAAGCGGGAAGAGCUCAAAUUUGAAAUCUUAAAGGGUUUCCCUUUACGAAUUGUAGUUUAAAGAAGUGUUUUCUGUUGAGGUUUUGGUAAAAGUUCUUUGGAAUAGGACAUCAUAGAGGGUGAGAAUCCCGUAUUUGACCUUUACUUUCAACUUUGUGAUACACUUUCAAAGAGUCGGAUUGUUUGGGAAUGCAGUCCAAAAUGGGUGGUAAAUUUCAUCUAAAGCUAAAUAUUGGCGAGAGACCGAUAGCGAACAAGUACCGUGAGGGAAAGAUGAAAAGAACUUUGAAAAGAGAGUUAAACAGUACGUGAAAUUGUCAAAAGGGAAGCGUUUGACACCAGUGUUGUUUUUUCUGAAAAUCAAUUAAAGAACUGUUUAUGCUAAGUCUGUUUAGACUUUAUCAGCUAACUGUUUAGUUUUGAGCUUUUCUUUAAUGCACUUUUCAGUUAACAAGUCAACAUCAAUUUCUUUUGCUGUAAAAAAGCUUGAGGAAGGUGGCUUGAGAUUCGUCUUAAGUGUUUAUAGCCUCUUGCCUAUGCAGUCGGAGAGAUUGAGGUCUGCAGCGUAGAUCCUUCGGGGCUAAAUGCAUUUGUGCUAAGUUAUAGCAUUUUAUAGACAACUUGUUGACUAUGAUUUGUCUUGUAGCUUACUCGCUUAUGUUAUUUUACCUACGCUUAGGAUGUUGACGAGACUGUCGAUCUC